rnacentral:rRNA from 1 species
ACUCAAAGGAAUAGACGGGGGCCCGCACAAGCGGUGGAGCAUGUGGUUUAAUUCGAUGCAACGCGAAGAACCUUACCUACCCUUGACAUCCACAGAAUCCUGCAGAGAUGCGGGAGUGCCGAAAGGAACUGUGAGACAGGUGCUGCAUGGCUGUCGUCAGCUCGUGUUGUGAGAUGUUGGGUUAAGUCCCGUAACGAGCGCAACCCUUAUCCUUAGUUGCCAACACGUAAUGGUGGGGACUCUAAGGAGACUGCUGGUGAAGAACCGGAGGAAGGUGGGGACGACGUCAAGUCAUCAUGGCCUUUAUGGGUAGGGCUACACACGUGCUACAAUGGGGCGUACAGAGGGAAGCCAACUCGCGAGAGGGAGCCAAUCUCAGAAAGCGUCUCGUAGUCCAGAUUGAAGUCUGCAACUCGACUUCAUGAAGUCGGAAUCGCUAGUAAUCGCGAAUCAGAAUGUCGCGGUGAAUACGUUCCCGGGCCUUGCACACACCGCCCGU